GCCGCCCCCGAGGGACGCGGGCCUUAGAAGUGCACCGGCGCUCUCAGGGCACGCACCCGCGGCUCCCACGCGGAUUUACCCCUCCGAGUGCGGAGCAGAUCCAGGGGAGACACCGGGAACAGCCCGGAUCACCGGCACAGGCCGGGCAUGACCUGCUGGAUAGCGGCGCUGCUGGGAAGGACCUGUGCGAUCUGACAGGCAACCGGCUGUUCCAGAGCCGGCAGUGUGUCCUGGAGGCCAGAAGGGCCCGUGGGACCCUGAGGGACAAUGAGAAGAGCACUGACAGCAGGCUUACCCUGACUGGAAAGGCUGAGGGUCACCAGCAUGGAAACUGUCAGCAGCUCUCUGCCUUAAAAAAAACUUUUUAAAUAUUUUUUUUUUAACAUCGUGAGUAAAACAGAAAAGAAUCCCAACUGUGUUAAGGAUUAUGCAAAAACAGACCCAUAUUGAAGGAAAGCCUCCAGAACAAUGGCUGAGGCAGCAGGAGAAAAAGCAAAGGAUUUGCCACUGGUCACCUGUUGUAACUUCCUCAAAAAACAUCUCUGAACAGAACAUUUAUUUAUUUAUUUAUGAGAAGCCCACCAAUGAUAAAGAGGUGCAGGCUUUGGGGGGAAAAAACCCAACAAUUCAUAUUUUUGGCUCAGUGUGCUGGUCAUGCUUUCCAUAAAAUUUGUUUUUUUUAAAACUUAAACCAUCGAAAGAUACUGCUGAAGAAACUAGUCUGUUAGGAAUGCCCUAUAACAGAAUUAAAGUGUUCAAUGGGGUUCAAAAAAAGGACAAAAUUCAACCAUUUGCUGACUUUGUUGACUAGCACACACCCUUCAGCACUGCAGCUGGCACUUGGCUCCAUUUCAAACACAGACAGUGCAAAAGUAGCUCCAAAGAAGCAAAGAAAAGCUAAAAUAUUGCUUCAGAAAACAACAGAUUAAACAAUUAGCAAGAAAACUUCCUCUGGUUGCCUCUUCCUCAGCCUCAACUUCCUACAGGCCUCAGCACCUCCACAUCUAAAUUACAGUUUCUUUUGAGUUAUUUUAGUUUUAAACCCAACAGGAACAGUAUUUAGUAGUGCCUCUAAAAAUGGAGGAAAACAGUUACAGCCAGGCAGGGCAGUUAUAUGAAUCUCUUAAUUACUAUCAUGUUAUUACUGACAACUCCAGUCUUCAGUUGCGUCUUUUACCUUUCUCCACCAUAACUGGCUUCUGGACUGUUGUUUUAAUCACAUUCAAACCAGUUUGAGUAUGAAAAUUAAAGAGCAUUAUGUAUAGUAACACCAUUGUACAUUAACAUGUACAAUUAACAGGACAUCAACAACAAGAAAACAAAAGUAUCUUUUUCUUAACAACAGGGAAAAUGGGAUAUGCAGGAGGGAUCUCUGUGAACAGAGGUGAAUGGGAGCCCACAGCCUUGGCAUCCAUGAAGAUCCUUGGCUUUGGCAGUGGAGAAUGACCUGUUUCUUUCCUCUUUGUCCGAGGGAGGGGUUAGCAUAUGAGAGGGAAAGAGUGACUGUCUGCUUACACUCCUGUUAAUGGGUGUGCCAA